ensembl:snoRNA SNORA5A small nucleolar RNA, H/ACA box 5A
CGCAGCUGUGUCAAAUUCGGUGCCCGCCCACCCGUGGCAGGCGCCGGCCCAAGAGGCUGCCACAGGAACACCGUGGCUCAUGGGCCCUGAUCCUCUGUGCUGGGCCUCAGGGAUAAAUUCUGUCACGGACACCA